rnacentral:lncRNA from 1 species
GAGAUGCUACAACUAAUUGAAAGGAGGAAGAAUGCCAACAGGAAGUCUCAUUAUUCCAAUAAGCAAUACAAUAUGGAUUUGAUCGCUGAUGAUAUUACUCCAAUUUACACACAGGAUGAUGCUCAACGUCUCUGCUGGUAUAAUGACGAGACCGAGGCAGAAGGUAUGGGGAAACUUCUAAACUUUGAUGAAGAUAACAUCCCUCAUUGGAUUCACAGAAAUACCUCCAAGGUGUGUAAAAUGUUAGGUGUCAAAUAUGUUGGGCUAGAGAAGGAUAUAACAGAGAUGCUACAACUAAUUGAAAGGAGGAAGAAUGC